CCCGCACAAGCGGCGGAGCAUGCGGAUUAAUUCGAUGCAACGCGAAGAACCUUACCAAGGCUUGACAUACACCGGUAACGCCCAGAGAUGGGUGCCCCUUUGUGGUCGGUGGACAGGUGGUGCAUGGUUGUCGUCAGCUCGUGUCGCGAGAUGUUGGGUUAAGUCCCGCAACGAGCGCAACCCUCGUCCUAUGUUGCCAGCGGGUCAUGCCGGGGACUCAUGGGAGACUGCCGGGGUCAACUCGGAGGAAGGUGGGAUGACGUCAAAUCAUCAUGCCCCUUAUGUCUUGGGCUUCACGCAUGCUACAAUGGCCGGUACAAAGGGCUGCGAUACCGCGAGGUGGAGCGAAUCCCAGAAAGCCGGUCUCAGUUCGGAUUGGGGUCUGCAACUCGACCCCAUGAAGUCGGAGUCGCUAGUAAUCGCAGAUCAGCAACGCUGCGGUGAAUACGUUCCCGGGCCUU
rnacentral:rRNA from 1 species